AUUACCUUAGCGAUAAUGCCUUCCGACUGACGAGACCCACUGGAAGUGAAUCAAUUAGCUGUCUACGCAACGCAGUGCUUUGCUUCGAUUUCUGCCAGUCACCUCCAAAGUACCCUUGAACUGACUGGUCCUCGUGGUUGAAUGUUGCGGAGUGCCCAGUCCGUGUUUUUUUUUGUUUUUCUGCUUCAACCUGCAAAAUAUAUAACACACCGAUCGUAGAUAGUUCAGUGCUUGUCGUCAUCAAUAGUUACGAUGCGGUGAAUUAUCAGCAAACUCCCGUCGCGGAGGGCAAACAUGAUAUGUCAUUGCAUUGUUGUUUUGCUUCAUUUUUUUGAGCUUUUAUUUAUCAUCAAAUUAUGGAGUUUUCUUUUUUGUGUGGUUAUACCAUAAUCAGAAUAUUGGAUUGUGGCUUUCGUUUACUUCAAAAUGAUAAAAGCUUAUCUCAAAUUUGUAUGAGCGAUACGAUCUCCGUAAAAGAAACAUGACAUGCGUCAUGACACGUUUGUGAAAUUUGAGCAUUCUAAUACUAAUAAUAGGUUUUUGAUUAUCAUUAUAAAACAAUGAGGAUAGCUAUGUGAACAAGUUUGAAACAAGGUGAUGUUUCUCUUUAAGUCGUUAUGUUUGACAUGACAUUUUUUUAAAUGUUCAAUAUAUUUUCGCGGGUUGGCGGUUCAAUGCAUAGGGCACUGGUCUAACAAACCAGUUGUCGUAUGUUCGAGCCCCAACCUGGAAGGAUUCGUAGGAUGGUUCUGUACACUCUGAAUCGGCUGCGAAGUCUGUUGAAACAGAAGGUCAAAUUCCACCACAGGAAUGUAAUACCAAGGCUUUUAUAUAUUUUCGCCGAUCUUCGGAUUUCCGUGUAUUUCUACGUUACCAAAGUUAAUUUGUUAAUAGGCAAUCCAGACUCGAUAUGAGCACUUGAGAUGUCAAUACUUAAGUAAUCGAAAUUAAAGAAAAUGUUUGAUGAAUCAAUUAUCAUUAAACUAAGAUUUAUCGGUUAAUAUUUUUAGUCAACGAACGAUACCAAAGCUCUCUUUUCUAUCACACAAUUUCCACCUAUAAAAAUCAUUUUUGCUCCGUGUCGUUUGAAUUAAACCAAAAUAAAACGAUCACUACUCGAGCCACUACAUUAUUUUACAGAUUACCUACAACCUACGGAUUGCGAUGUAAUCGGUAUCAAAGUGUUCGCUUUGACCUUAAGAAGUAAUACCUUUGCACAGGGCCGGAUAAAUUUGGAACACGUUUUUUCUAUUUCUUGAAUAUUUUUUUAAUGUGGAAAGUGAAACGUGCGACUUUGGCUUACGGAAUUUCUGACGCGAGGAAUUUAGAUGUUAAGGAAGGGCCAUUCUAACCAUGAAAGAUGAUUUUUAUGAUUUAUGAAUUCGAUAAUAGGUUCACGCACGUAUAUUGACUCCACCAUAAAUUAGUUGUCACCAACAAAGUUUUUUUUAAAUUAUCUUUAUAAUAAAAAUAUGUUCCUCUGACUACAACAAAAUUGGCCUGCACCAACCUUGAAUCGGCACUACUUUUGUAAAACAGGUGGCAUAAAUUUAUGAUUCUUCUGUUAAAGAGUAGCGUAUGCUAUAAUGUCAAACUUAGCUUUUGAAACAUUGCAUUAGAUAGGGAUAGCAGAUCUCACUCUAAUUAAUAGUGUCCAUAUAUGGAAUAGUUAUAAGUGAGGUAACCGACAAACCGCAAUGUUGCCUUUCCAUACAAAAUGCCUCAAUUUUAUCUGAAUACGACUUUCAGUUCCCGAAUUACUAGGUGAUACGUGCGAAAAAAUGGGCUGGGGAAUUACAGGGUGAUUAGUUGGAAAUUUUAAUAUCAAUAAAAUUGUUUUUCAUAUAUAGGUAUGUAACGAGAAACGAAUUCCCUAAAAUUGGUUUAAAGUGCUUGUUGAUGAUCAAAUAAACUUACUUCAGUUAGUACCAGACAUCCGGAUUUUCGGUUCUAGAAGUACCAGCGAUAGUUAUCAAAAACUCUAGAAUAGAAUUCCGGUUUUUCAAAGAUGGUAUAUUUUAGUUCAUUCUCGCAUCUCACCCGACACAGUCGAAAAUAGUUUGCGGUCGAAACAACAGAAACAAAGGCAAUACAGUGCAGUGAACAAUAGAGUGUACGGAAUGGUCAAAUACGAUUUAACAAAGCCUGAAACUUGGCUUACAAGACCAAAUUCAAUUUGUAUAGAUUUAAAGCGUUGCAAAGCAGCAAAUGAUAUUGAAAUCUUACUUAAAGAACGAAUGCAUCUAGACGCUAAUAAUGUAAGUGAGAUUCAAUUCAACAAAGCGUCUAACUGAAUGUACAUUAUGUCUAAAUGUGAAAGCGAUGCAAUUGCAUUCGGUUUGGUUAACAACGAGGUGCACAGCGUUGAGUGUGACAACAUUAAAUACAAAAUCCCUGUGCACAUGGUGGACAAUGCCAUAGAAGUACGCGUACAUGACCUUCCCCCGCAGACCAGCGAUCUAUCCGUUCGGGAAAUCAUGUCGCAGUACGAUGAAGCUCUUUCCAUCGAAAGAGAAGUAUGGCGGAUUUUUCCCCGGCAUCCGGAAUGGCGUGCGAGUGGUACGUAUGCAACUACGUAAGGCAAUUCCAUCUUACAUCAUUUGUGGUCAAGGUGGGACACAUCCGUGUAAAACGCUGAUUACCUAUGAAAAUCAGCUGGUUACAUGUCAGUUUUGUGAACAACCUGCACACUACGAUAAACCUUGCAAUGAAACUGCGAAAAUUAUUAUUUUGACUGAUGGAGCACCGAAUAUUACUUUGUAAAUAAGUAAGAAAGAAAUCGUUUUAUUCCUAAAAUCAAACAAAAAUGUAUGGUUUCAACAAUCAAAAGCGUUAGUCGAAAUGACAAAUUUCUAGGAAAUUUAUUUCAACUAAAAGGUUUUGUGAAUUUAAAGUGUUACAAUUAUUGACUGUAACUAGUUUGUUUCAUUUAAAACUUUUUUUUUUAAAUUGAAUUUACUGUGAAAUUGUUUGUGAACAGAUUGACAGGAACGCACAAGUAAAAUAUUUGUUAUUUUUAUCAAACUAUUGAUUGAAACAAACUAAUCCAUCGAGGAAAAAAAAGGAUCAUGUUUUGUAGUUUCAUGUAACAAUAUUUGCAAUAUCAAACCAGACUUUCUUUUGUCACUAUUUCAACAAAAAUAUUCGUUGGGUGAAACCCAAAUUUGGUUAUUUUUACAAAUUUUUUCUCUGCGUGAUGCUUUCAUUUCAAUCCAGUGAAUUUAGAGGCUGUGAACCAUUUCGCGGUUAAUUUUAACUUUUGGUUAAAAUCUGACACUUGAGUGAUUAUUUUGUGUCGAGUAGGGUAACAGAGGUAUUUUGGCCCACUUUAGGAUUGAUUUUAUUUUGGCCCACUUUGAAUAAAUAUCCACCAAAUGUUGUAAUAUCUUUUAAAAACCCUUCCGCAAUAGGUAAUUUAAUGUGUUUACCUUCAAAUUUAUGUAACAUGAGUUACUUCACAUCAAUUAAAUCCGAUAAAAUCGAUAAAGUUUGUUAGGUGGGCCAAAAUAUAUGAAGUGGCCAAAAUACCUCUGUUACCCUAGUUAAAUUUGAUGAGAUAUGAUGAGCACCUCGUUAAAAGAGAAAUAAGUUUUUUCCCUACCUGCAUUGUACGAACCCUGAGCUUGUAUUAUUUCUUUUUUAUUCUACUUCCUACUACUGCGGAACUGUACACAAUCAUCACAAAUAAAUGCGUUUUACUUCCAACCAGUCGUGUUGUGUUUUAGCUCCUUUUUUGUCCGUAUUUUUACUUCGGUUCCGCGUGUCUGCUGGUAGUUCCGUCCAUCAGGUUAUGGUCCCAGUCUCGGGAAGCCGUUGAGCAGUGACCGGAUUUAGAAGGCUGUUUUCCGGGAAGUGGAGGUUUUCUGUUUUAUGCUUCCUGAAGGAAUUUUUUUUUCUUGCAACGCGGUUGUGAAUGAACAAGAUGGCUGACGGAUGGAAAGCAUCGUUCGCUAAAUUAGGAAAUGCAAACUAUGCAUCAUGGAAAUUUCGCAUGCGAUCUUUGCUGGAACGUGAAGAUUUGUGGAACAUAAUUGAGCAACCAAAGCCAGAAGAAACUGAUGAUGGUUUUGCGGAUUGGAAGAAAAACGACACAAAGGCCCGAGCAACAAUCGCUCUAUUUGUUGAGGAUAAUCAACUGCGUUUUGUGAAAAAGUGUGAUACGGCUCGCCAGAUGUGGGAAAAUCUGCGAAUCUAUCAUGAAAAGGCCACCAUUGGGAACCAAGCAAUGCUGUUGCAGAAGUUGUGUUCGAAAAAUUUGCCUGAGGGUGGUGACGUCGAGAAGCAUCUCGAAGAAAUUGAAUGCUUGUAUGAGCGCCUGGACAACGCGGGCGUGGAACUCAGUGAGCUUUUGCGAAUAAUAAUGAUGUUGCGUAGUCUUCCAUCGUCGUACAAUAGUUUUGUGACGUCAUUGGAAAAUAGACCACAGGAGGAUCUAACAAUGGAUUUGGUGGUAGCUCGGCUGCGUGAUGAAUAUCAAAAGCGAUCGGAUCGUAAUAAGCAUGGCGAUAACAGUGAAAAAGCGUUGAAAGUUUCCGAUAAAGGAAAAAGUGACAGAAAAUGUUUUUAUUGUUCGAAACCCGGACAUUUUAAGAAAAAUUGUCGCAAAUAUCUUGCAGACAAACGCUGUGAAGAUGCAAGUGAAUCAGAAAAAUCCACAGGAUCGAAUCAGGCUGCUAAGCAGAAAGCAAAGCAAGUACAAGCGGAAAGUGAGAGUAACGAUCGAUCAAAACAAAGGGUUGCGGAUGAGGUUAUCUGUGGUGCUGUGUGCUUCAUGGCCGGUAGCGUAAUUCCAGGAUCGUGGACGAUUGAUAGUGGGUGUACGUGUCAUAUGACGAACGACCGCAGUUUUUUCUCGGAAUUCAAAAGAGGAGUUACCGUAGACGUGACUCUUGCAGACGGAACAAAAACUAAAUCUACCGGAGUUGGAAGCGGUGUGAUCAUGGGAAUGAAUGCGAAAGGGGAACGCAUUGCAAUUACUCUUGAGAACGUUUUAUUGGUUCCUUCUCUAGAAGGUGGAUUGAUUUCUGUUCGGAAACUCGCAACGAAGGGCUUCACAGUUGUAUUUGAAGCAACGGGAUGUUUAAUCAAAACAAUCAACGGUGUCAUCGUGGCAAUGGGUGAGUUAGUUGGUUGUCAAUACAAGUUAAAGUUGGCAGAGCAGUGUUUAUCCGUUACGGGAAAUCAUAAUGAGAGUUGUCAACACACAUGGCAUCGCCGAAUGGGCCAUCGCGACAUUGGUGUACUAAAUACAAUCGUCACACAAGGUUUGGCAAAUGGAAUCAAGUUAACGGAUUGCGGAGAUAGAAUCGUGUGUGAGUGCUGUUUGAAAGGUAAAUUGGUACGAAAACCUUUUCCUUUGAUUUCAGAGCGAAAAUCAAAACGACCGUUAGAUAUAAUACACACGGAUCUCUGUGGGCCAAUGGAACAUUCGACGCCGAGUGGUAACAAAUACUUCAUCACACUAAUUGAUGAUUUUAGCCGUUUUUGCGUGGUGUUUUUAUUGAAGACGAAAGAUGAAGCAGUCGAUAAGAUUAUUGAAUUCGUUCGGUGGGCUCAAAAUAUCUUCGAUAGGAAGCCCUGUGUUUUGCGAUCUGAUGGAGGAGGAGAAUAUACAGGUGAGAAAUUACAAAGUUUUUGCAAAUCCGAGGGCAUACAGCAGCAGUUCUCUACUCCUUACUCACCGCAAUCGAAUGGAGUAGCGGAGCGGAAAAACCGAUCACUUCAGGAAAUGUCUAGUUGUAUGUUACUCGAUGCUAACCUUCCGAAGCUUUAUUGGGGGGAAGCGAUUCUCACGGCAACGUAUAUUCAAAAAUCGGCUUCCAUCAAGAGCAGUUGAAAAGACGCCAUUCGAAUUGUGGACAGGCUACAAACCAGACUUGAAAGGUCUUAGAAUCUUCGGUUGUGAAGCCUAUGUUCGUAUACCGGAUGUCAAGCGAAAGAAGCUUGAUCCUCGAUCCAGAAAGCUUAUAUUCGUCGGUUAUUCUAGUUGUCACAAAGGUUAUCGAUUCCUUGAUGUUCAAACCCAGCGUAUAACAGUUAGUAGAGAUGCACAAUUUUUGGAAAUUGCGAAUGGUCCAGUGCAUCAGGAGGAGAUACUUCCGGAAACGCUGCGGAGUAACAGUCCGAUUCCAGAUGAUUCAAAUAAUGAUGAUAAUACAGUGGAAGUUAGUGAUGAAAGUAACCAACAACAAAUACAAGAAGAAGGGCGUCAUUCAGUGUAUGAAGACGCAGAAGACACUUUUGAAACAGAUUUUUUUGGCUUCGACGAUACUAGCGCGGAAAUGGAGAAUACAGAGCAAUCAGUAUUAAAUCGUCAAGACCGGUGUUCACGUGGUAGAAUGCCAUACAGAUAUGAUGAUUUUAUCGUUGAAAAUGUUAAACAUGACGAAGAACCUAUUAACUUUCGCGAUGCUUUAAGUUUGCCCGUCUGGCAACGCGCAAUGCGAGAAGAGAUUGAUGCUCACAAAAUAAAUAGCACAUGGGAGCUAUCAGAUCUUCCAUCAGGUAAGAAAGUCAUCGGCGCGAAGUGGGUAUUUAAGAUUAAACGAGAUGAAACGGGUGCUAUUGUCAAGCAUAAAGCUCGUAUCGUUGCGCAAGGAUACUCACAGUGUUUCGGUGUUGAUUUUUCGGAAGUGUAUGCGCCGGUCACACGGCAGGCAACAUUGCGUACACUAUUAGCAGUUGCGGGAAAGAAACAGUUGAUACUGAAGCAGUAUGAUGUUCGGACGGCCUACCUCAACGGUACUGUCGAAGAAGAGCUAUAUAUGCAGCAACCUCCAGGUUUUGAAACUCCAGGCAACGAACAAAAGGUAUGCAAACUACGAAAAAGUAUAUACGGUUUGCGACAAUCUGCGAGAUGUUGGAAUAAAGCGUUGCACUCUGUACUUCUUGGGUUGAAGUUUAAACCAAGCAGCGCAGAUCCAUGUCUUUACAUCCGAUAUGGAAAACCGUUUGUUGUUAUUUUAGUGUACGUGGACGAUCUAUUGAUUGGUAGUGCUGAUGAGACUGAUAUAAAUGUGGUUUACGAAGGGCUUAAGAAGAAAUUUGACAUUACUUCGCUUGGAUAUGUACGUCAUUUUUUGGGAUUCGAAAUUGAAAGAGUGGGAUGCUACUAUACUUUGCGAUUAUCCGUCUUCAUCCAUACAUUGCUUUGUAAGUUCAAUAUGAAGAAUUGUCGACCCUCAAAGAUUCCUAUGGAUCCAGGUUACAAACCGAGUAACGAUGAUAGUAAACGAUUUGAAAAAUCCAACAAUGUACCGAAGUCUUGUUGGAGCUUUAUUAUAUUUAGCGGUUAACGCAAGACCAGAUCUAUCUUUGAGUGUUGGCUUGCUUGGAAGGAAAGUGAGUGAACCCAACAACAUGGAUUGGUAUGCAGCGAAACGAGUUCUGCAAUAUUUGAGCGUGACGAGUGAUUUGAAAUUGCAAUUCGGACCAGGAGAAGGAUGGUGUUUAAGAGGAUUUUCUGAUUCUGAUUGGGCAGGAGAUGUUCGCACGAGGAGAUCAACAACCGGGUUUAUCUUUUUCUAUGGAAGCGGUCCAAUUAGCUGGGUGAGCAAAGCACAAUGUUCUGUUGCACUGUCGUCCCUCGAAGCUGAGUACAACGCACUGUCGCUAGCUUGUCAAGAAACCGUUUGGCUUAGGCGAUUGUUGUCAGAAUUAAGUGAAGCAGAAGACAAAGCUACUGUCAUUCUCGAGGAUAACCAAGGAUGUCUCAGUUUUGCUACGUCGGAAAGGACCAGUGGUCGCGUUAAACAUAUCGACACUAAAAGGCAUUAUGUACGGGAAUUAGCGGAGAAAGAUGUCAUCAAGUUGGUGUAUUGUCCGACCAGUGAGAUGGUUGCAGAUGCAUUAACAAAGCCUUUAGGUCCUACAGGAUUGCGGAAAUUCGUCGAGCAAAUAGGACUGAAGCCUUAAACUCGGUGUUCAUCCAGGAGGAGUGAUGAGAUAUGAUGAGCACCUCGUUAAAAGAGAAAUAAGUUUUUUCCCUACCUGCAUUGUACGAACCCUGAGCUUGUAUUAUUUCUUUUUUAUUCUACUUCCUACUACUGCGGAACUGUACACAAUCAUCACAAAUAAAUGCGUUUUACUUCCAACCAGUCGUGUUGUGUUUUAGCUCCUUUUUUGUCCGUAUUUUUACUUCGGUUCCGCGUGUCUGCUGGUAGUUCCGUCCAUCAAAAUUUAACUAAAACUGCGGCCCAUUUCACAGUUUCACGGAUGCAAACUUAUUUGCGUUUAUUUUGCACUGGAAAUCAUUUUGACUGAAGAAUUGAUAUUAGAAUUUUCUUUGCAAGAUUUUUUUCAGUGUCGGAAAAUAACCUCUGUCAAAAAUAACCAUGCUUUCAAGCAGGGUUAUUUUUGACAACAUUAAAAUAACCACUCGAGUGUCAGAUUUCAACCAAGAGUUGAAAUUAACCGCGAAAUGGUUCACAGCCAGAGGAUACAAUAGUUAACUAUUUUAGUUUUCAUCCAUUGAUAAGUUGUCCCUGCUGUUGUUGAAAACUUUUUGUUUUCAUUUCGUCUGUUGAAUUGGUGAUGAAAAUUUCUGUACACUUACAUCUUGAUUGAUUUAUAGGAAGGAAAGCAGACAUCGCUCUAAUUGGCUUAGCUGUCAUGGGACAGAACUUAAUCCUGAACAUGGACUCAAAAGGGUUCGUGGUGUGUGCCUACAACCGAACUGUUGAUAAGGUCAAACAAUUCCUCGACAAUGAGG